rnacentral:lncRNA from 1 species
GCAGCAGCAACAUUAGGUCAACUAAUGAAUUUCGUCAAAUCAGGCGUCCUUUUCAGCAAAGGACUCGAUACAGUGGUAAGCCAACAAAUUUCGAGCAUACUGGAGGUAUGGUCCAAGUUCGAUACAGACAGGUAGCUAAUGAUUUUAAAUGCAAUUAUUACAUAGAAAAAUAAAUAAUAAUAAAACAAACAUAAAAGAUACAAAAAAGUUUCCGAUUUAUUUAUGACCAUAUCAAUUAUAAAAAAAAUAAAAAUAAUUUUUAUUAAACUUCUCAAAUCUCUUCUUUCUCCUCCCAAAUUUCUAGCUCCCCUGAGUGAUUUCAAAAUUUUCUACGGACCCACGAAGUGGUUUCAA